GUCAUGACGCCUUGGCGUAUUGUGCUAGGGAGUUGUAGGGCAAACUCCAGGUUAAAGAAUAGCUGAGGUGUGGUGGCUACGAGGAAUUCGACGGUGUUCUGACAGAUUGGACAAAAUUAGGACUCCCUUCGGGUGUAUCAACUUAUAAAUUGUAUCUUAAAGCUUCCGUACUGUGCAAAUGGUUACGUCACUCUCACGUGACGGCCAGCAUGCCCUCCUUCGGGACGGGGUGUGUCAGAAACUGUUUAGCUAUCUAUGGAAAUUAAAGAGUUCAUUUAAUAUGGAAA